UACGGAGGGUGCGAGCGUUGUCCGGAAUCACUGGGCGUAAAGGGCGCGUAGGUGGCACGGGUAGUCGUCGGUGAAAGCUCAGGGCUCAACCCUGAGUCGGCCGGUGAUACUCCCGAGCUCGAGUGUGGUAGAGGCCAAUGGAAUUCCGGGUGUAGCGGUGGAAUGCGUAGAGAUCCGGAAGAACACCAGUGGCGAAGGCGGUUGGCUGGGCCACAACUGACACUGAUGCGCGACAGCGUGGGGAGCAAACAGG
rnacentral:rRNA from 1 species